UACGUAGGGUGCGAGCGUUGUCCGGAAUUAUUGGGCGUAAAGGGCUCGUAGGCGGUUUGUCGCGUCGGGAGUGAAAACUCAGGGCUUAACCCUGAGCCUGCUUCCGAUACGGGCAGACUAGAGGUAUGCAGGGGAGAAUGGAAUUCCUGGUGUAGCGGUGAAAUGCGCAGAUAUCUGGAGGAACACCGGUGGCGAAGGCGGCAUCCUGGACCGACACUGACGCUGAGACGCGAAAGCGUGGGGAUCAAACAGG
rnacentral:rRNA from 1 species